rnacentral:rRNA from 1 species
UGGGGAAUAUUGGACAAUGGGCGAAAGCCUGAUCCAGCCAUGCCGCGUGUGUGAAGAAGGUCUUCGGAUUGUAAAGCACUUUAAGUUGGGAGGAAGGGCAGUAAGCGAAUACCUUGCUGUUUUGACGUUACCGACAGAAUAAGCACCGGCUAACUCUGUGCCAGCAGCCGCGGUAAUACAGAGGGUGCAAGCGUUAAUCGGAAUUACUGGGCGUAAAGCGCGCGUAGGUGGUUCGUUAAGUUGAAUGUGAAAGCCCCGGGCUCAACCUGGGAACUGCAACAAAAACUGGCGAGCUAGAGUAGGGCAGAGGGUGGUGGAAUUUCCUGUGUAGCGGUGAAAUGCGUAGAUAUAGGAAGGAACACAAGUGGCGAAGGCGACCACCUGGGCUCAUACUGACACUGAGGUGCGAAAGCGUGGGGAGCAAACAGG